rnacentral:rRNA from 1 species
UUUUAAAGGAAGAACAUAUAUAAUUGUUUACUAUAAAAAUAUCUAGAAAUUAAAAUUUAUAUAAAAUUAUAGGGAAUAAAUCAUAUAAAGAAAAUUGCCUUUGGCAUCAGGAUAUUUAGAAAAAAUUUUUUAAACUUAUAUUUUCUUGAAACAUAAAGAUUAAGGGAGUUUAUCCAAAAAAAUAAUAAAUAUUUUUUAAAAAACUUUCUGGGAAUUAAAAAUUUUCAUUUUAUGUUAUAACUAGAUAGUUUUUAUUAAAAAAAAAAGAGGAUUAGCUCUUUCUAUGUAAUAAUGUACGUAUUUAUUUCUAUAAAUAGAAAAAACUAUUAUGAAUAAACUUCUAAUAAUUCUUUAAGAAAUAAUAAUUAAAUAAUGAGUCAAAACAAAUUAUAAUUAUAAAAAAAAAACUCAGCUAAAAUAAAAGAAGACUGUUUAACAAAUACAUUGCCUUUAGAAAAAAAAUUAAAGGUCGUUGCCUGCUCCAUGAUGUAAAAAUUAAAUAGACAAAUAGGUUAAAGUAGCAAAAUCAUAUGUUUCUUAAUUAGAUUCGAGUAUGAAGGGCGUUACUUCUUUUGGCUAUCUUUUUUAUAAAAUUAAAAUUCAUUUUAAAGUGAAAAAUCUUUUAAACCGUUGAAAGACGAGAAGACCCUAGAAAGUUUAAAUUAAAAAAUAAUUUAAUUGGGGCAAUUAAGAGUUAUUGAGAAGAAUUUUAUUCUAAAGUUAACACUCUUUAUAAAAAAAUUUUAUAAAAUAGUAAUGAGCCAUAAAAGAAUGGAUAUGAAUAUAACUUACUCUAGGGAUAACAGCAUUAUUGAAAAAAUAUGAUCAAAAUGUUUUUUUAGUUUAUGACCUCGAUGUUGAAUUUAAAAGAAAAAAUGAGAAAAAAAAUUUUUUUAAGGACUGUUCGUCCUAAUUUUUAACAUGAUUUGAGUUAAAAUCGGCGAAAGCUAGACUGGUUUCUAUCUUCAAGGAAAAUCAUAAUUUUUUUUUAGUACGAAAGGAAUAAAAAAAGAAACUAAAGACUUAAAAAAAAUCUAGUCUCACUAAUAUUCGGAG